rnacentral:sRNA from 1 species
AGCAGCCGCGGUAAUUCCAGCUCCAAUAGCGUAUAUUAAAGUUGUUGCAGUUAAAAAGCUCGUAGUUGAAUUUCGGGGUCAGUAGGUCGGUCGUGCCACAGGUAUGCACUGGUCUCACUGAUUCCUCCUUCCUGAUGAACCGUAAUGCCAUUAAUUUGGUGUUGCGGGGAGACUGGACUGUUACUUUGAAAAAUUAGAGUGUUUAAAGCAGGCUAACGCUUGAAUACAUUAGCAUGGAAUAACGGAAUGGGACGUUCGAUCUUAUUUUGUUGGUUUCUAAGAUUGACGUAAUGAUUAAUAGGGAUAGUUGGGGGCAUUAGUAUUCAAUUGUCAGAGGUGAAAUUCUUGGAUUUAUUGAAGACUAACUACUGCGAAAGCAUUUGCCAAGGAUGUUUUCAUUAAUCAAGAACGAAAGUUAGGGGAUCGAAGACGAUCAGAUACCGUCGUAGUCUUAACCAUAAACUAUGCCGACUAGGGAUCGGAUGAUGUUAAUUUUUAAUGA